AAAAAAAUUGCAACGUUCAAUGGAUGAUCAAGCUUAGAAAUGGGGAAAUAAAUAAACCAAUUUUGGGAAAGGAACCGAACCGUUCGUAGGCAAACUCGAGAGGGUGAAUCUGAUGAGAGAGAGUUUAUUUUCCUGGCUACUGAUGGUUGAUUGGAUGUCUGUGUCUACUGAAAGUGAGCAAAUCAUUUUCAGCAUUCCUUUUCUUGCAACCUCUUACAGCUCGUUCUCAAAUCAUCCCUGGCAUAAGAACUGAGCUCGGAGUGAAGUGUUUCAUCUUGUGUGAUAUGUAAAAAAUGGAUCUACAUCUACACUGAUGGAAGAGCAGCAGCUGGAUUGGAAGGUUUGUGAUCUAACAGCACCUUUUCCUGUCUCUCGUUCUCUCUGGAAACAUAUAGGGAGACUGAAGAAUCAGAAAUAAAAAUCGUUGGAAACGCAACUGACGCAAUCAAGUUGCACGUUUUGUUUUCUUCCUAGUUUAGGAGGUUUUCUGAAUUCGUUUGGCUCUGUUGUUGUAUUUACUUUCUAUUUAUGUUUUGUCCCUUUUUGUUAAAACAUGAGAAGUCUUUCCUUAAGUCUUGAGAACUCU